GAUGAAGAACGUAGCGAAAUGAGAUAAGUAAUGUGAAUUGCAGAAUUCAGUGAAUCAUCGAAUCUUUGAACGCACAUUGCGCCCGCCAGUAUUCUGGCGGGCAUGCCUGUUCGAGCGUCAUUUCAACCAUCAAGCCCCCGGCUUGUGUUGGGGACCUGCGGCUGCCGCAGGCCCUGAAAACCAGUGGCGGGCUCGCUAGUCACUCCGAGCGUAGUAAUACAUCUCGCUCAGGGCGUGCUGCGGGUUCCGGCCGUUAAAAAGCCUUAUUUACCCAAGGUUGACCUCGGAUCAGGCAGGAAGACCCGCUGAACUUAAGCAUAUCAAUAAGCGGAGGA
rnacentral:misc_RNA from 1 species